GAGUUUGAUCCUGGCUCAGAUUGAACGCUGGCGGCAUGCCUUACACAUGCAAGUCGAACGGCAGCACGGGAGCUUGCUCCUGGUGGCGAGUGGCGAACGGGUGAGUAAUGCAUCGGAACGUAUCCUGGAGUGGGGGAUAACGUAGCGAAAGUUACGCUAAUACCGCAUAUUCUGUGAGCAGGAAAGCGGGGGACCUUCGGGCCUCGCGCUCUUGGAGCGGCCGAUGUCGGAUUAGCUAGUUGGUGAGGUAAAGGCUCACCAAGGCGACGAUCCGUAGCAGGUCUGAGAGGAUGAUCUGCCACACUGGAACUGAGACACGGUCCAGACUCCUACGGGAGGCAGCAGUGGGAAUUUUGGACAAUGGGGGCAACCCUGAUCCAGCCAUGCCGCGUGAGUGAAGAAGGCCUUCGGUUGUAAGCUCUUCGUCG
rnacentral:rRNA from 1 species